CUCUUAUCAAGAGAGGCGGAGGGACUGGCCCAAUGAAGCCCGGCAACCACGAUUUAUUUCGAAGGUGCCAAUUCCAGCAACAUGAAAAUGUUGAAAGAUAAGAG
rnacentral:ncRNA from 2 species